AUGUGGCUCCUCAGCAUCUGGGUUGUGUCGGGCACAUUUCUAACAGACCUGAGUCAUGGAGAUUCAAUCACUCAGUCACUCUCCUUAGAUAUUCAGACAGAGGGAGCGGCAGCGACUCUAAGUUGUACCUAUGACACUACAGAGAGCUAUUAUUGGAUAUACUGGUACCGGCAGUACCCAGGCAUGCAGCCCGAUUAUAUCCUGAGGAAAUAUGCUUCAGGCAGUGAGGAAAAAGCAGAUUUUGCGAAAGAUCGUUUCUCUGUAGAACUUCAGACCUCGAAGAAACUCACCAGUUUAACUAUUACUGGAUUAGAGCUGACCGACGCUGCUGUGUAUUACUGUGCUUUCAGGGACACUGGCAGGCAUAUAUCCGUGCUAUUUGGUGCCCAGUCGGAAGUAUUGUUGACUCACCUGGAGGCAGAGACAGGCAUUGCCGAACAGUCUCUGAGACUGACAUGUAAAACCAGCGGGUUUGAUCUGAAUGCAUACAUUAUGUACUGGUAUCAACAAGUCCUGGGGAAUGGCCCACAAUGGCUCGUUCGGUACUAUACUGAAGACAGCAAAGAUUUUAAUCCAGAGUUGAAAACCGAGUUGCUGCUUCCAAAGUCCUUACAAAAAAAGUCUUCACUUUGGAAAUCAGACAGUUGA